rnacentral:misc_RNA from 1 species
UAAAAAGUAAAAAAAAAAAGUGGAAAUAACAAAAUAAUUCACACAAAUCAAGAGAAAGCAAGAAAUGAAAUUUUCACUUGCAAUACUUUUGGUUUGUACAACAAGUGUUCUGUAGUUCAGAUAGUUCAAUCCAACAAACAUGCCACCAAAUACCUACCCUAUAAUGUUACUUUUUUUUUCAAUUAUAAAAUCACAAAAUCACACCAAUGGUUACAAUUACUAAAGCCAUAAAGCUGCUUAAUUAUGGCUUCGUGAGGAUAACUUGCUGCUUUUUUUUCUUUUUAUUGCUAGAACAAUAGCAAAAAGCAUCAUAAGGCAUUACAGACUUUAAAGAAGUUAUCAAAUAGCAAAACCUUCUAUCUCCCUCUUGAUUUUUUUUCCUUCAAAAGAAAAAACUACACCAUUUGCUCAAUUGAAAGACCAUAUUGUAAAAAUGAAUAUAUAUCACAAUCCCUACCUAUUCCCUCAAAUAUGAAUUAAAAAAAGAAACAGAACAAUAAAAUAUGGAUACCUGUUUGGUCUAUAAUGUGGAGAGUGUCUGAUUGAGUAUUGAGAAGGAACAAUUUCCUCAGUUUCCACAGGAGACCUAAAUGAUUGAACAGCUGCAGAGCCAUAUUCAACCUCCCCUGGUACAACACUAGUACUUGAAGAACUUAAUUCUAGUCUUUUAUGCAUUCUCUCUUCUUCAUCUUGAAGUUCU